rnacentral:rRNA from 1 species
GACGAACGCUGGCGGCGUGCCUAAUACAUGCAAGUAGAACGCUGAAGGAGGAGCUUGCUUCUCUGGAUGAGUUGCGAACGGGUGAGUAACGCGUAGGUAACCUGCCUGGUAGCGGGGGAUAACUAUUGGAAACGAUAGCUAAUACCGCAUAAGAGUAGAUGUCGCAUGACAUUUGCUUAAAAGGUGCAAUUGCAUCACUACCAGAUGGACCUGCGUUGUAUUAGCUAGUUGGUGAGGUAACGGCUCACCAAGGCAACGAUACAUAGCCGACCUGAGAGGGUGAUCGGCCACACUGGGACUGAGACACGGCCCAGACUCCUACGGGAGGCAGCAGUAGGGAAUCUUCGGCAAUGGACGGAAGUCUGACCGAGCAACGCCGCGUGAGUGAAGAAGGUUUUCGGAUCGUAAAGCUCGGUUGUGAGAGAAGAACGAGUGUGAGAGUGGAAAGUUCACACUGUGACGGUAUCUUACCAGAAAGGGACGGCUAACUACGUG